rnacentral:rRNA from 1 species
GAUGAACGCUGGCGGCGCGCCUAACACAUGCAAGUCGAACGAUUAAACCACCUUUGGGUGUUUAUAAAGUGGCACACGGCUGAGUAACACGUGGGCAACCUGCCCCUUUCAUUCGGAUAGCCACGGGAAACCGUGGGUAAUACCGAAUACUUCCACGCUUCCGCAUGAAGGUGUCGAGAAAGCUCCAGCGGGGAGGGAUAGGCCCGGGGGGUGUUCGCUUGUCGUUGGGGUAAGGGCAUACGAAGGCAAUGAAGGGUAGCUGGGGUGCGAGACCGACCAGCGAGAUUGGGACGGAGACACGGCCCAGAAGCCUACGGGAGGAAGCAGUGGGGAACGGUGCACAAUGGGCGCAAGCCUGCGGCAGCGACGACGGGUGCGGGAUGAAGGCCUUCGGGUUGUAAACCGCUUUCAGCAGGGAUGAGGGGAAAGUGACGGUACCUGCAGAAGAAGCCCCGGCUAACUACGUG